GUGAAAGUUGCUGGUAUAUUUAAAGGGAUAGUUCGCCCAAAUAUAUUAAUUGUCAUUUAUCACUUGUUCCAAAUCUGUGUGACUUUCUGUCCUCUGUCAAACACAAAAGAAUAUAUAUUUUAAAAGCUGAAAUCCUGUAAUCAUUGACUUGUACAGUAUUUGUUUUUCCUACUAUAGGACUAAUGUUUUUUUCCGAUUUAUUGAAACAUAUUUUCUCUUUUGUUCAACAGAAGGUAUCAUAUAUGGCAUAAGGGGUUUGAAACUGCUCGAAGGUAAGAAAAUAGUGAGUAAAGUUUAUUUUUGGUGAACUGUCCCUUUAAAAUAUCCUGCCCUCUGUUGUUGUCAAUAUACAGUCAGCGUUGACCAAUCGGAUGCUGUAUUGGCGUUCCAGCGCUGACUGUUUCAUCCAAUCAGCGCAGCGCAAGAGCGCACAACAACCGUCCAUCCAAUAGCGAGGCUCGAAAAUAAUGACAUAGGCAGUUAAAGAAAAGCGCUCGAGCUCAGCGCGCGAAGGCUGACGUUGAAUUCAGUUAGCACCAUCGGGCGGGAGAUGGAUGUGUACGUGUUUGGCACUGUAAAAAUAACAUUAUCAGAUUAAUUUAAUGAGGUUUUGAAUAUUAAGCUUGAGUUAUUUACUUUAUACGUCGUGUCUCGAACGAUUGAUGUGGUUUUGUUUCGAUUAAAAGCGCAAGACUCGACCCACAAAGAUGAGCUCCGUCCUUUCAGAGCGGCCUGUGGAUGUGGUUGAGGGAGGAACAGCUGGGAGCGAUUCAGACAGUGGUGUGGGUUCACCAAUGGAGGAGCCUGUGAUUGACAACAACAAGCGCACUGAGGACCAGCAAGAUUCAGAUGAUGAUAUCGCCGUCAGUCGGAAGGGACGCUCUCGGAAAGCACUGCAGGACAGUGACAGCGACGGAGAGAAGGAAGAGGCAGGAAUGACGAACGCUUUGGUCCUGUCAGAGUCCAGCGAUGAGGAGACGAAAACCAGUGAGAUUGAAAGUGUCAUAAAGAAGAGAGGAAAACGAGUGUCCCGCAUCUCAAUGGAUAGCGAUGAGGAUGAGCAAGAAAAAGCGGAGGAUGCUCAAGUCAAGCCAAAAGAAGGAAAGAAAAAAAGAGAGAAGUCACAAAGACGCAAAGAGAAAGAGAAGCGCAACGUUGCUCUGGUGAAACGGCUGAAGGAAAAAUCUGAGGAUGCUCCCCCAGUCAAAGCUCUGAAUGACAGCGGCUGUCUGCUCGGAGACUCUGACCUGUUUGAUGCUCAGUUAGAGGAAGACUCUGAACAUCAGCUUGAAGAAGAAGAGGAAGAGUCUCUGGAUGCCAUCCGAUCGGCUGUAAAAAAGAAGGCCAAGUAUAAACCUCAUCUGUCUGAGUGCAGUGGAGACGAGGAACAAGAAAACAAGCCACAACGCAAGGAGCGGAAAGCAGCGAAAGCCAGUAAGGAGGCGAUGAAGCAGCUUCACAGUGAGAGUCAGAGACUGGUGCGAGGUCAGUCAGCGGUCACAUCUGAUCUGCAUGCAAUUUUAAUGUUUGAUUUCUGUUUAAAAUAAUUUAGAUUUACACAUCUAGUUUUAAUAUUGCCCUUUAAAAUGUUAUAAAUGCAGUUGAACCAGUCAAAUCUUGCACUACUGUUCAAAAGCUUGGGUCAGUAAGAUAGUUAUGUCCGUUUGUUUCAACAAAAAGAAAAAUAAAUGAACUUAUUCAGCACAAACACAUUUGAUUUAUCUAGAACUUAAAGUUAAAAUUCUGUUAUUUUAUAUUUACCACAUUAUAUGGAAAUAAGUAUCACUUUUCAUACAAGUAUGAAGCACCUUAAAUGUUAAAAACUGUAAAAAAAAAACAACAACAACAAAAAAACUGUAGUCUAUUAUUAUUUAUUAGGCAAAUAACAAACUGACAAGCACAUUAAACUUCUCAGUGUGAAUUUGGCCAUUUAAAUAAUAAAAAAUUAAACAAUGAUAAUAAUAAAAAUAAUUAUGUUAGGCUUUUUUCUAGUCUCUCUUGUACAUUUGAAAAUUCAUAGAUGACAACAAUAGCCUAAUUACUAUUAAAAUUAACUUAACAUGCUUCAGAAUGACCUUUUUAUUGGUCAUUUUUUAUUAAAGAUUAAGAAUAAAAGUUACUUGUAAACUUUAUAUAGUAAAGUAUGAUAAGCAUAAAAUAUUUCAGCAUUGUUAAUGAUAUAAUAAAAUGUUUAAUAAGCAACAUGGUAAUAUUAUAAUAAUGUCUAAUGACUCUUGUGAUGGCUGAAAGAAUCAUUGCUAAAUGUUUAGGAAUAAUUAACUUGGUGUAAAUCCUUUUAAAAUGUAUAUUUAUUGUAAUAUUGGACUUAAGGGUCUGCUAAAUCAGUGUUUCUCAACCAUGUUCUUGGAGGACCAACACUGCAUGGUUUGGAUGUCUCCGUUGUCUGUCGCAGUCAUUACAGGUCUGUCAGUCUCUGCUAAUGAGCUGAGGAU
ensembl:lincRNA